ensembl:lncRNA
AAAAAAAAAAAAAAAAAAAAAGACACACUGCCUAUCAUUCAGCAGGCCGGUCAUGUUUGUGAUGCCAGCUUCCAGCAGGCCACUGUCUCAUCCCAACUGAGGGAAAACCAGGUACCUCAAAAAGAGGCCACUGUGCCUUGGAUACAAACAUCCCCUCGCUCUCCUCCUCGCCCACAGUCAGUACAUCUUGCACACAGCACUUGACAUGCUUGCAACUUUGUGUUUUCGUAAUAUAUCUGUAUAUAUACGCAUGUAUAGUGCGUUGUCUAGCCGGCCAGAGCCCAUAUGUCUGUUCUCACCUAAAAAGAGCACUGAAAAGCAGAAGCCACAGACCAGACCCAGUGGCAGCACACAGCUCAGCCCUUCAUCACAUGACAGGAAUCAAGCACAAAAUGAAGCCCUUAGGACCACAGUGCGCUCUCCAACACAGUUGGCGGAAAAAGCUGAGCAGGCCGCUAGAGAGAGGAUUCAACCUUUGUUGGAUCAAGCACAGGUGGUUGGAACAGGAAGUGACACACUCAGAGAGCGGCUGAAGGUUGCAGAUAAGAGAGACCAGGAAGAAGUGCAUCGAAGCUUUGCUAUGAUCUCGUACUCUGACCCUCUUAUCUGGGAAAAAGGCACAGGUGAGUCACAGGGCCCAGAUAGACCAUUUACAUUCCCCAAUUGAUAGUAGACAGGAAGACUGACAAAAGCAGUUAUCAGUUGUCCUUUCGGGAGCAUCAGAAGGUCAGUCUCAGCAUCUUCCCACUUUGUCCCUGAGAGACACACUAGUAUGUGCUCUGCAUUUUGUAUGGCUGACAUGACAGUGAUUUCCACAAGAUGGCAGCAAUGUAAAACGUCUUGUGUGUUGCAGCUGCUCUUAGAAAUAUUACUAGCUCUAGGCCACCCUCUCCUCAGCCAAUCCGACUGAUGGAACCAGUCCUGAAUGCACUCGGUACGGCCGACAUCCUCCUGCAAAAGCCAGUGGAGACUGGGGCUGUAUCAGACACAUCAAUACUAGAUGAGGACUCUUUAACUUUAAAUGACCCCAGUCAUCCAGGAGAAAGCACACCAGGGGUUUAUCUGACUGUGCCGCCCAGCAUGCAGAGGAGUAUCCAGAAAUACAGGGAGAACCAUGAUGCGCCUGGUCUCGCACAAGUCUCUGGGGAGCUUCAGUCCUUGGACAAUAGCAGACAGUCUGGCUGAUGAGCUAAUGGCUGAGGCUCUGGCUGAUGUUGCGGCAGAGUUCCAGGAUGUUUGCGAAGAGUAUGCGGAAGCUGGAGUUCCUCCAGCCUGUCCAGUCUCCCACCACAUCAAUAUCAUAGAGACUACUUAUAAACAACUUAGAAGCAAUGACAUUUUGAUAUGUUUUUGGAACUGAACAUCGUCAUAUCCAGAUUUAUAUUUUUGUAUGUUUUUCCAUGAAUUACGUUUAAAUAUUGGACUUUACAAUCCCUGAAUAGAACCUGCUGGUUAGAGCUCAGUUUAUACUCAGAUGGGCAUUUCUGUUGUAAUGUGAAACCUCAGUGGGUGGUCUGACUUUUAAAUGCAAACAGAUGCUUUUUAGCACACGGCUAACAAAUGUCACAUCAAUGUGCCAUAAUCCAUACAACCUUCUUUGUGCGUUAGUCAAUGCAUUAGUCGACUUCUGCGGUAGCUAUUCAGCAUAGACAAAAGCCUUAAAAGAACCUCUACAUUAUUAAUGCAUUGCAAAUGAUAAGAUUUUUGCUGUUUUCUAUAAAUACCUCCCACUAGAGGGUUAACACGCUUACUUCCUCUUGAAUAAGAAUUAAGGGAUGCAGUAAUGCUGUCCAUAUCAGAACGCAAACUUGUUACUUUGUGGACUGAUUUCAUACACUCUAAAACAUAUGUUUUGUUUCUCUGUGCUAAUUGUCUUUAAGUUCACUAUAAGCAUCCAUAUGUUGCCCAGCGUGAUUGGACAGGUGAGGUAUAUUUAGAGUGUGUGUAUAGUUUAUAUGUCAGAGCCUGAGGGGAAAAUAGCCUCCAGAUGGGUCCAGAUGUUGUGCUGGGAAUGUGCAUGGACAGGACAACUAGGGCCUAAGCACUGUAGUAUUUACAAGCAUUUUUACCAUAGGGUCUGUGUGUUGAAAUGUACAUACCUAUAGCUCUUAUAUAACUAAGUAAAACUAUAAUAAUCAGAAAGUGCAUAGUUUAGACAUAUUAAAGAGUAUAAAAUGAGGGUCCGUGUCUUUUGAGGGCUUUUUAUGGCUUUAAAAGUAUUGGUUGUCCCUUUAUUGCUUAACUGUAAUGCAGUGCACAGAUUUUAGGGUACGUUUCUUAACCUGUCAAGUUCUAGUUUAAACCCCCAGAUGUGAGUCACCGGUUUCUUCCCAGUGUUCAGCAAUCUACAUAUUUGUGAAAAAUGCCAAAAGCAAAUUAACAGCACAAGUAACUGCAUUUGCCAGCAAAUUCUAGGCUUUGUGCCAUGAACUAUUAUGAAUGCUGUGAUGGGGAUAUAUGAAUAUAGUCACCAAUUUGGCAUGAACUUGUUCUUGUUUUUUUUUUCUAUUGCUGGUGAAAGAUACCUGUUGAAUUUGUAUUGUAUUUAUAAUCAUGAUUUAAUUUAUAAUGAAAAUAAAUGUUUUAAAAUGGCUCUUCCA